GAGCCCUUUGGGUUGGGUUGUAAAAAGGUCAUGAACACAGAAGGGUAAAGUAAGUCUCCAUAAAACCCAGAGAAGAGAUGGUAAAACUCCUCUUUGGAUCCUGUCUGGAGUCACAGAU